rnacentral:snoRNA from 1 species
UGGCAGAUUGGGCCCAUUGUUACAGUAUAGCUGUGAAGUGUGUAUUGUCCUUUUCUCCUGCCCAGAGCAAGUGUUUCCAACAAUCUCUGUCUAGCUCAACUCUAUAGCCGGACAGGGACUCUUGGUCUCAAACAU